AAAUGGAAACCUCAAAUAUUCACUUUCGGGAGCCUUUCCUUUGUACAAAGGAGAUAAGCCAACUCAAGAAAUUCUGUGUUAUUGCUGGUGAUAUCUACAAUGAAGCUAUCUGCUAUAGGGUCGUUCAAUAUUCAGAUAAUCUUGAAUAGGAAUUUCAGGAAUUGCUCUUGUUUGCAUCGGUUACAUUGAAAUAGGAAGUCUGCUGUCCCUAUUUUUGCUUUUAGGGAUCUUACUAUAUAGCAUAGCUAUAAUACUCGAGUGCUAAUUUGAAUGUUUUCAAUUUCAUACAUUCGUCUCUGACUAAGAAGCAUUUGGAAUCGAAUGCACGAGGUCAAGGAAAAGAUAGGCUUUAAUAGAAUACUAUAAUAUCCACUCUUAAUGCAAAAUUCAUUUAUAAGUUUCAAAACCCCUUAAGAAUCUCUUUAUCUAAUGUUAACAACAUCUUCCUCAACCCUACUCUCCAAAAGGUAGUUGGCUUUAUAAGACAAUAUGACCCUCUCAUUAAACUUGAAUAGCAAGACUACAGUGAUUUAUAUUUUAUAAUAAUGUUAAAUAGUUAAAUGGUAAACUACCAUUCAGUCUUAAUAAAAUGUGACAUUUUUGGUUGAGUGAUAUGGAUAAGAAGGACUUAAAACCUCGAAGGGAGUUGAAAUAUUAUGGUGAUUUGAGAAACUUUUUCUGCAUUACUGGACUGUGUGGACAAUUUCAUGUUCAUUAAAUGUUUCCACUAAUUGUUCGCUAUAUAUGUUUCCAAAAAAUACGAACCUUCAAGAAAUUAUGGAAGGCUACUGUUCUGAAGGAAUAGAUAUCUGAAGGAAAAUCAGCGUACUUAUUAAAGUGUGUGGUAUGCUUUAUUCACUUUUUACCGUUUGACUUUGAAACAGAGCCGCAAUAGAGUAAUAUCAUAUUUAAAAAAUAUGGCUUAAAAAGAAAAAACUAUAGAAUCACUACAUCUCCAGGAAGGGCAAUAAAAAGUCCCUUGACAACCGUUUUAUCCACAACUGAAAAUAAAAGACACUUGCGAUUUCUUUUCUUUGGCAAAAUUAAAUCUUUUCUUCUAUAUCAUUGCAAAACAUUAUUCCUUCGUACUUUAUCCUAUUUAAUACGAAUAUCCUCCUUCCAUGCAAGUUACUACAGGAAUUCUGCUGUCAAAAGAAAAUUACAUAAAAUAAAGAUUCAAGGAUUUGAACAAUAAUUAAAAAGUAGUGUCGAUCCUUUUAGACGAAGUAUAUUCUGCUCAAAAGAUUGAAUAUGUGAAUAUAAAAAUUUAUGGAUUCAACAAAGAUGGAGUAACUAAAACUCUCCUCUGCUUUAUUGUAAAUUCGAUUGCUGGUCAAUAUUAUGAUGUAGUUACGAUGAUACCGAUAGUGAAUAUAUCAUCUAGAACAAUGAAAGAAUGGUAUCUAUAAGUUUUAGAUCUACUAACACAAAUAGGAUUUAACGUGGUGGCAACAAUUUCAGAUGGUACCUCUGCUAAUGUCGGUUUUUUAAGUGAGCUGUGUUGUUUUAUUUAAGGAAUGUAUAGAAUAUCCUUUUAAGGGUUCCUCUAUUUUUUAUUAUUAUUUGAUACGGUUCAUUUGUUCGAAAAAAUAUACAAAACUUUCUGAACAGAUUAACACUUGUAUCCCCCAAUUUUGAUGACACGCCAAUAUCUGGUCAAUUAAUCCAUAUGAAAUCACUUUACGAACUUGAGUGCACAAAACUAUUCAGAUAUGCCCAACAAAAUAUCGAUUCCAUCCCCUCAAAAAGUUUUUAAUAUAUCUUUAGAGAAAGUAGUAACGGCUUGUUCUCUGUAAUGUGAAACAUUUUCUAAUAAUUGUAAGUCUGGUUAUUGUUUUUCUGCCUUUAUUCCCAAAAUAGGAAAUAAUUUUUUUUUAUGUCAUGAAGAAUUUUGUAUUUUUUAAAAAUGAUAAAGUGCAAAAUAAAGUUGGAAAGAGCACCACCAAUACCCCAACCAAAAGAAAAGUAACGAAACUCCAAUCCAAUCGAUGAUUAUUCUUCCAAUAUUAUGUAUAUCGGUAUAGUUAUCUUGAUAAAAUAAAAACAAUAUAUUAA
rnacentral:lncRNA from 1 species